UACGGAGGGGGCGAGCGUUGUCCGAAGUUACUGGGCGUAAAGCGCGCGUAGGCGGGUUGGUAAGUCCGCUGUGAAAGCCCGGAGCUUAACUCCGGAGGGUCGGUGGAUACUGCCAGUCUUGAAGGUGCUAGGGGGAGAUGGAAUUACCGGUGUAGCGGUGAAAUGCGUAGAGAUCGGUAGGAACACCAGUGGCGAAGGCGGUCUCCUGGGGCAUUCUUGACGCUGAGGCGCGAAAGCUAGGGGAGCGAACAGG
rnacentral:rRNA from 1 species